rnacentral:tRNA from 1 species
GGGGUUGUGACUCAGUGGUAGAGUGCUUGCCUAGCAAGCAUGAGGCACUGGGUUCAAUCCUCAGUACCACA